rnacentral:rRNA from 1 species
UAAGACGAACUGUCCAAACGUUGUUCGGAAUCACUGGGCUUAAAGGGCGCGUAGGCGGUCGAUCAAGUCAGGGGUGAAAUCCUGCAGCUUAACUGUAGAAGUGCCUUUGAUACUGGUCGUCUCGAGGGAGGUAGGGGUGUGUGGAACUUCCAGUGGAGCGGUGAAAUGCGUUGAUAUUGGAAGGAACGCCGGAGGCGAAAGCGACGCACUGGACCUCUUCUGACGCUGAGGCGCGAAAGCUAGGGGAGCAAACGGGAUUAGAUACCCCGGUAGUCCUAGCCCUAAACGAUGGGUACUAGAUUGUAGACUGAUCAUGGGUUUACAGUCGAAGCAAAAGUGUUAAGUACCCCGCCUGGGGAGUAUGGUCGCAAGGCUG